CCUACGGGAGGCAGCAGUGGGGAAUAUUGGACAAUGGGGGCAACCCUGAUCCAGCCAUGCCGCGUGUGUGAAGAAGGCCCUCGGGUUGUAAAGCACUUUCAGUGAGGAAGAACGCCUGGUGGUUAAUACCCAUCAGGAAAGACAUCACUCACAGAAGAAGCACCGGCUAACUCCGUGCCAGCAGCCGCGGUAAUACGGAGGGUGUGAGCGUUAAUCGGAAUUACUGGGCGUAAAGCGCGCGUAGGUGGCUUGAUAAGCCGGUUGUGAAAGCCCCGGGCUCAACCUGGGAACGGCAUCCGGAACUGUCAAGCUAGAGUGCAGGAGAGGAAGGUAGAAUUCCCGGUGUAGCGGUGAAAUGCGUAGAGAUCGGGAGGAAUACCAGUGGCGAAGGCGGCCUUCUGGACUGACACUGACACUGAGGUGCGAAAGCGUGGGUAGCAAACAGGAUUAGAUACCCUAGUAGUC
rnacentral:rRNA from 1 species